rnacentral:rRNA from 1 species
CAAUAGCGUAUAUUAAAGUUGUUGCGGUUAAAAAGCUCGUAGUUGGAUAUCUGCUUAGUUUUGACGCACUCGAAUCGAGUGUCGGACGAUACUAAGUAUUGUUUGCUGACGAUUUAGAACUUUAUUGUUCGGAGUCUGAGGCGAAAUUUCACCUUGAGGAAAUUAGAGUGCUUAAUGCAAGUUUUUUGCUUUGAAUAUUUUAGCAUGGAAUAAUAACUUAGGGCUUUGGUUGUAUUAGCAAUUCUAUAACCAAAGUAAUGUAUAAUAGAGGUAGUCGGGGGCAUUCGUAUUUAACUGUCAGAGGUGAAAUUCUUGGAUUUGUUAAAGACGAACUACUGCGAAAGCAUUUGCCAUGGAUACUCUCUUUGA